rnacentral:misc_RNA from 1 species
CGAGAGCAGAGUGAAGACACUAUCGGCGAGUAGAUGGUCGAGUAUGGUUGAGCUAACUGGGCAGCGAAGUCUGAAGUUGCAGUUACGUUUGCAUAUGGCGCGGCGCUUCUCAUCACUUCGAAUAUCUACCCCAAAAUGCGAGCAGCAUAAGAUUCUUCUCUCAAUUUCUAUCGAUUCUAUACCGUGAACCUCUCCUCCUUUUUCUUUCUUCCUGCCAAACGGACAAUAUACCGUAAUCGCCUUUAAAUAACUCUCUCCUAAGCCUCACCUUCUUCUUCUUUUCUUGCAUGUCUGCU